rnacentral:rRNA from 1 species
GACGAACGCUGGCGGCGUGCUUAACACAUGCAAGUCGAACGGAAAGGCCUUUUCGGAGGUACUCGAGUGGAGAACGGGUGAGUAACACGUGGGUGAUCUGCCCUGCACUCUGGGAUAAGCCUGGGAAACUGGGUCUAAUACCGGAUAGGACCGCACUUUAGUGUGUGUGGUGGAAAGUUUUUUCGGUGUAGGAUGAGCCCGCGGCCUAUCAGCUUGUUGGUGGGGUAAUGGCCUACCAAGGCGGCGACGGGUAGCCGGACUGAGAGGUUGGUCGGCCACAUUGGGACUGAGAUACGGCCCAGACUCCUACGGGAGGCAGCAGUGGGGAAUAUUGCACAAUGGGCGCAAGCCUGAUGCAGCGACGCCGCGUGGGGGAUGACGGCCUUCGGGUUGUAAACUCCUUUCGCCAGGGACGAAGCGUUUUGUGACGGUACCUGGAGAAGAAGCACCGGCUAACUACGUG